CUGAGGAGUCAGAACCUCCCAACAGAGAAUUGAACCUUCUAACACUUUCACAAAGUACAUUUAAGUGAGUUAAAAGAAAGAGGAGGUAAAGAACCAUAUUGCAAGUCAUAUAAUAAGGUGGAAGCUAGCCACAUCCUAA